GGUCCGGUAGUGUAGUGGGUAGCACGUCGGAUCCUGAAUCCGAAAGCCUGUGUUCGAAUCACAGCGGGACCC